rnacentral:rRNA from 1 species
UACGGAGGGUGCAAGCGUUAUCCGGAUUUAUUGGGUUUAAAGGGUGCGUAGGCGGACAUGUAAGUCCGUGGUGAAAUCUCUAAGCUUAACUUGGAAACUGCCAUGGAUACUAUAUGUCUUGAAUGUUGUGGAGGUUAGCGGAAUAUGUCAUGUAGCGGUGAAAUGCAUAGAUAUGACAUAGAACACCAAUUGCGAAGGCAGCUGGCUACACAAAUAUUGACGCUGAGGCACGAAAGCGUGGGGAGCAAACAGG